rnacentral:rRNA from 1 species
UACGGAGGGUGCAAGCGUUGUCCGGAAUCACUGGGCGUAAAGGGCGCGUAGGCGGCUCUGCACGUUCGUUGUGAAAUCGCCCGGCUCAACUGGGCGGGGUCAGCGGAUACGGCGGAGCUUGAGCAAGCUAGGGGGCAAUGGAAUUCCCGGUGUAGUGGUGGAAUGCGUAGAUAUCGGGAGGAACACCAGUGGCGAAGGCGGUUGCCUGGGGCUUUGCUGACGCUGAUGCGCGAAAGCGUGGGGAGCGAUCCGG